UACAGAGGGUGCAAGCGUUGUUCGGAAUUAUUGGGCGUAAAGCGCGUGUAGGCGGUUUCGCAAGUCGGGUGUGAAAGCCCUCAGCUCAACUGAGGAAGUGCGCCCGAAACUGCGGAGCUUGAGUACCGGAGAGGAUGGCGGCAAUUCCCCAAGUAGAGGUGAAAUUCGUAGAUAUGGGGAGGAACACCGGUGGCGAAGGCGGCCAUCUGGACGGAUACUGACGCUGAGACGCGAAAGCGUGGGUAGCAAACAGG
rnacentral:rRNA from 1 species